GAUAAACGCUGGCGGCGUGCUUAACACAUGCAAGUCGAACGAAGUUUUUCUUUCGGGAGGAACUUAGUGGCGGACGGGGGAGUAACGCGUGGGUAACCUGCCCUGUACAGGGGGACAACAGCUGGAAACGGCUGCUAAUACCGCAUAAGCCCUUAGCACUGCAUGGUGCAUAGGGAAAAGGAGCAAUCCGGUACAGGAUGGACCCGCGUCUGAUUAGCCAGUUGGCAGGGUAACGGCCUACCAAAGCGACGAUCAGUAGCCGAUCUGAGAGGAUGUACGGCCACAUUGGGACUGAGACACGGCCCAGACUCCUACGGGAGGCAGCAGUGGGGAAUAUUGCACAAUGGAGGAAACUCUGAUGCAGCGACGCCGCGUGAGUGAAGAAGUAUUUCGGUAUGUAAAGCUCUAUCAGCAGGAAAGAAAAUGACGGUACCUGACUAAGAAGCACCGGCUAACUACGUG
rnacentral:rRNA from 1 species